CCCCACUGCUAUCGGGAUGGGACUAAGACAUGCUAGUCGAGCGUCUCUAAGCUAUGGAAGAGACGCGGCACACAGCUCAGUAACACGUGGCUAACCUGCCCUUGGGACAAGGACAACUCCGGGAAACUGGGGCUAAUCCCUGAUAGGUGAGAACUCCUGGAAUGGAUUCUCGCUGAAAGGACGUUUAGACCAUGCUUCUAGGCGUCGCCCAAGGAGGGGGCCGCGACCGAUCAGGUUGUUGGUGAGGUAACGGCUCACCAAGCCUUUAACCGGUACGGGCCGUGAGAGCGGAAGCCCGGAGAUGGGCACUGAGACAAGGGCCCAGGCCCUACGGGGCGCAGCAGUCGCGAAAACUCCGCAAUACACGAAAGUGUGACGGGGCUAUCCCGAGUGCCAUCCGCUGAGGAUGGCUUUUCCCCAGUGUAUAAAGCUGGGGGAAUAAGGAGAGGGCAAGCCUGGUGUCAGCCGCCGCGGUAAUACCAGCUCUCCGAGUGGUGGGGAUGUUUAUUGGGCCUAAAGCAUUCGUAGCCUGCUUGGCAAGUCCUCCGUUAAAUCCAACGAUUCAAUCGUUGGGCUGCGGGGGAUACUGUCCGGCUAGGGGGCGGGAGAGGCCGACGGUAUCCCCGGGGUAGGGGUGAAAUCCUAUAAUCCCGGGAGGACCACCAGUGGCGAAGGCUGUCGGCUAGAACGCGCUCGACGGUGAGGGAUGAAAGCUGGGGGAGCGAACCGGAUUAGAUACCCGGGUAGUCCCAGCUGUAAACGAUGCAGGCUAGGUGUUGGCGCGGCUACGUGCCGCUCCAGUGCCGCAGGGAAGCCGUUAAGCCUGCCGCCUGGGAAGUACGGCCGCAAGGCUGAAACUUAAAGGAAUUGGCGGGGGAGCACCACAAGGUGUGAAGCUUGCGGUUU
rnacentral:rRNA from 1 species